GGUGAAGGUAGUAAGGGCAUGCAGUGGAUGCCUAGGCGGCGAGAGGCGAAGAAGGGCGUGGCAAGCUGCGAAAAGCCCGGGGGAGCUGCAAGCGAGCGUUGAUCCCGGGAUACCCGAAUGGGGCAACCUGUGCACGUGAAAGCGUGCACGCCGAGAGGCGCGAGACCCGGGGAAGUGAAACAUCUCAGUACCCGGAGGAAAAGAAAUCAAACGAGAUUCCCUGAGUAGAGGCGAUCGAAAGGGGAGGAGCCUAAACCAGCCGAAAGGCUGGGGUUGUGGGACACAGUUAGGCUGAGUCCGCUCCGUAAUCACUCAUAGCUGAACAGUCUGGGAAGGCUGACCGAAGAGGGUGACAGUCCCGUAGGCGAAAUGAGUGAUGAAGGAGUGACUGUGAUCCCGAGUAGCGCGGGACUCGAGGAAUCCCGCGUGAAUCAGGGGGGACCACCCUCCAAGGCUAAAUACUCCUCGCCGACCGAUAGCGCAACCAGUACCGUGAGGGAAAGGUGAAAAGCCCCCCGGAAGGGGAGUGAAAGAGACCUGAAACUGCAUGCCUACAAGAAGUCGGAGCCCGCGAGGGUGACGAUGUGCCUUUUGAUUAAUGAGCCUGGGAGUUAUCGCUGCUGGCGAGGUUAAGCCGAUAAAGGCGGAGCCGGAGCGAAAGCGAGUCCGAAUAGGGCGCGAGUCAGUAGCGAUAGACCCGAAGCCGGGUGAGCUACCCAUGGGCAGGAUGAAGGUGGGGUAAAACCCACUGGAGGUCCGAACCGGUGGAUCGUGAAAAAUCCUCGGAUGACCUGUGGGUAGGAGUGAAAAGCUAACCGAACUCGGUGAUAGCUGGUUCUCCCCGAAAUGCAUUGAGGUGCAGCCUCAGGAGUUCUGUGGUGGAGGUAGAGCGCUGGUAGGGCUAGUGGGGUAACCUGCGAACCCUGUCAAACUCCGAAUGCCGCCACACGAGAUCCUGGGAGUGAGCCCGUGAGGGAUAAGCUUCACGGACGAGAGGGGAACAACCCAGACCGUCGGCUAAGGGCCCGAUAGUGUUAACUUGUAGUGAUGAAAGAGUGUAAUUGUGAAAGAAUGCGAUUGAUAUUGCCAUUGUGCGUUUUCCAAAGAUUCUUCACUACACAAAAUCCUUGAAUAUAUUUCGCUAAGUUCUUCGUAUUCUUCAGCCCUCGCUUGAGUCGGAAAAAGUCUUUCAACAAUGAAAACUUAGAUUCACAUUGAUUGUUUUUACCGAGCGGUACCACUACGUGAUUGAUAUUUCUGAACAACAGCUUUACUGCACUUUCAUAUGCACCAAGUCCAUCAGUAAUAAGUUCAAUGUUUCUAGGUUUUGAAUUACCAAAGAACUUCUCGAGCAAUACUUUGACUUGUCCCAUAUCACGAUACUUUGAGACAUGCCAACAAAGAAUUAAGUUAGUUUCGUGAUCAACUAAUAGCCAAACAUAGUACUUUUGUUCUUUGAACACAAGAACAGUUUCAUCAGCAUGAACUGAGAAAACAUUUUCGAUGGUAAAUGUUGGAAAAAGUACAGAGAAUAAAGUACACAAUUUAAUAACCCAUUUGUAUAUGGUGACAUGAGAUACUUUGAUAUUAAGAGAAUGAGCAAGAGAGCGAUAAGACAUAUUGUGUUUCAUAUACAAAACAAAAGCCUUUAAGACGAAAAAGAUAGGGAAGCGGAAAUAUUUAAAUUUCUCAGGAAUAAGGGUGACUGGUUCGGGGAGGUUAAAAGGUACUCUAUCUUUGGUACGACAAGCUCUACAACGGAAGACAACGAAAGAGCGACGGACUUUGUAAAUUUGCAUAGAUUUACCACAAGAAGUGCAUUUGGGAUAAGGGAAAGGGAAGUUUUUGCGUUUUUGAGAAUGGGAGAGUUUGAAAGAAUGAUGGCAGAGUUUGCAAAGGAAUUGUUGGUUACCGUAUUUGUCAUGACCGUUUUUGUAUAAGCUGGUGGAACCGCAUUUUGGACAAGAGAGCGUUGAGUUGUUCAUAUCGGGAUACCUCCUUUGUCGAGAGUUGGUUGGGGGGUGUCCCCUCUUUAUAAGGAUAAUGCGGUUUUUGGAAAGUUUCAAUACUUUUAGUUAACAUUAUCAAGGGCCCGGAGAGGUGGCUAAGUGUGAAGAGGAAGGAUGUGGUGUGGCCCAGACAACCGGGAUGUUGGCUUAGAAGCAGCCAUCAUUUAAAGAGUGCGUAACAGCUCACCGGUCGAGCCGCACUGCGCCGAAAAUGUGCGGGGCUGAAGCCACCCCCCGAAGCCACGGAAUCUACCGUUAGGUAGAUUGGUAGGGGAGCGUUCCGCGGUAGGGAGAAGGUAGACUCGAGAGAGCUACUGGACGAAGCGGAAGUGAGAAUCCAGGCAUGAGUAUACGAGAGGAUGGUGAGAAUCCAUCCCCCCGAAAGCCUAAGGGUACCUGGGGAAGGGUCGUCCGCCCAGGGUAAGUCGGGACCUAAGGAAAACCCGAAAGGGGUAUCCGAUGGGAAACCGGUUAAUAUUCCGGUACCACCGGCUAACCGAUACUGCAAGCGGGGACGCAGGAGGCUAAGCUCCGGGGAUAAGUGGCAAAUCCCUCCAAGCGGUUAGGCGAAGAGGGCUGUAGGUAAGUCCGCAGCCUGAGCUGAGCCGUGAAGGGGAGACUCCGAAAGGGGUCAACGGAGCUGACGCCACACUGCCAAGAAAAGCCGCGUGUAGUGGUUAGCAGGUGCCCGUUCCGCAAACCGACACAGGUAGGCGGGCUGAAAAAGCUAAGGGGAGCGGGAUAACCCUUGCCAAGGAACUCGGCAAAUUGACCCCGUAACUUCGGGAGAAGGGGUGCCACGGUAGGUUGAAGUCAGGGGAAGCCGCGAGGUGGAAACUGACGGAGGCCGAGGUGGUCGCAGAGAAAUGGCCCUGGCGACUGUUUACCAAAAACACAGGUCUCUGCCAACUCGAUGAGAGGAAGUAUAGGGACUGACGCCUGCCCGGUGCCGGAAGGUUAAGGGGAGGGGUGCAAGCUCCGAACCGAAGCCCCGGUAAACGGCGGCCGUAACUAUAACGGUCCUAAGGUAGCGAAAUUCCUUGUCGGGUAAGUUCCGACCUGCAUGAAUGGCGUAACGACUGGGGCACUGUCUCGGCAGGGGACCCGGUGAAAUUUCAGUCUGGGUGAAGAUGCCCAGUACCCGCAGCUAGACGGAAAGACCCCGUGGAGCUUUACUGUAACCUGGUAUUGUGCUCUGUUGCGGCGUGUACAGGAUAGGUGGGAGGCGAAGAAGCGUGCUCGCCAGGGCACGUGGAGCCGGCGGUGGGAUACCACCCUCGUUGCAGCGGAGUUCUAACCUACGCAUGUGGAGAGCAUGCGAGGGACAGUGCCAGGUGGGCAGUUUGACUGGGGCGGUCGCCUCCUAAAGAGUAACGGAGGCGCGCAAAGCUCGGCUCAGGUGGGUUGGAAAUCCACCGUUGAGUGCAAGGGCAAAAGCCGGGCUGACUGCGAGACCGACGGGUCGAGCAGAGGGGAAACCCGGUCCUAGUGACCCGGCGACUCCGAGUGGAAGGGUCGUCGAUCAACGGACAAAAGUUACCCCGGGGAUAACAGGCUAGUCUAGCCCGAGAGUUCACAUCGACGGCUAGGCUCGGCACCUCGAUGUCGGCUCAUCCCAUCCUGGGGCUGAAGCAGGUCCCAAGGGUUAGGCUGUUCGCCUAUUAAAGGGGUACGUGAGCUGGGUUCAGACCGUCGUGAGACAGGUCGGUCCCUAUCUGCUGCGGGCGUAGGAGGCUUGAGGAGGGUCGCCCUUUGUACGAGAGGACCAGGGUGAGGGAGCCACUGGUGUACCAGCUGUACUGCCAAGUGCAUACGCUGGGUAGCUACGCUCCUGAGCGAUAACCGCUGAAAGCAUCUAAGCGGGAAGCGCGCUCCGAGAUGAGGCCUCCAUAAGGCCGGUCCGAGAAGAGGACCUAGAUAGGCUGGUGGUGGAAGCGCCGAGAGGCGUGGAGCCAACCGGUACUAAUAGGCCGAAACCUUCACCUU
rnacentral:rRNA from 1 species